rnacentral:rRNA from 1 species
UACAGAGGUCUCAAGCGUUGUUCGGAUUCAUUGGGCGUAAAGGGUGCGUAGGUGGCUUGUUAAGUUGAAGGUGAAAUCUCGGGGCUCAACUCCGGAACUGCCUUCAAUACUGGCGAGCUCGAGGACUGUAGAGGAGAAUGGAAUUCACGGUGUAGCAGUGAAAUGCGUAGAUAUCGUGAGGAAGACCAGUGGCGAAAGCGAUUCUCUGGGCAGUUCCUGACACUGAGGUGCGAAAGCGUGGGGAGCAAACAGG